rnacentral:rRNA from 1 species
AGUUUGAUCCUGGUUCAGAUUGAACGCCAGUGGAUGCUUACAUGCAAGUCGAACGGCAGCACGGACUUCGGUCUGGUGGCGAGUGGCGAACGGGUGAGUAAUGUAUCGAAUCGUGUUUAGUAGCGGGGAUAACUACGCGAAAGGUAGCGACACCGCAUACGUUCCCUUCGGGGAAAGGGGGACCUUCGGGCCUGCACUAUUAGGAGCGGCCGAUAUCGGAUUAGCUAGUUGGUGGGGUAACGGCUCACCAAGGCGACGAUCCGUGGCUGGUUUGAGAGGACGACCAGCCACACUGGGACUGAGACACGGCCCAGACUCCUACGGUGAGGCAGCAGUGGGGAAUUUGACAAUGGGGAAACUCUGAUCCAGCCAUCCCGCGUGUGCGAUGAAGGCCUUCGGGUUGUAAAGACUCUGGCAGUGAAAGAAACGCAGCACGGGAUAAUACCCCGCAAGUAACUGACGGCACUUGCAGAAUAAGCACCGGUUAACUACGCCAGGCAGCCAGGCGGUAAUACGUGGGGUGCAAGCAAAAGGCACUGAAUUACUGGGCGUAAAGCGCAGGCGGACUGGAAAGAAAGAUGUGAAAUCCCAGAGCUUAACUUUGAACUGCAUUUUUAACUACCGAGCUAGAGUGCGUCAGAGGAGGUGAAUUCCGCGUGUGCAGUGAAUGCAGAUAUGCGGAGGAACACCGACAUGAAGGCAGCCUCUGGGGAUAAACACUGAUUACCGCACGGAAAGCGUGGGGAGCAAACAGGAUUAGAUAAUUUUGCAGUCCACGCCCUAACGAUACAACUAUGCUGUUGGGGCUUUCGGCCGGUAAAGCGUGAAGCACGUGCGUGAAGUUGACCGCUCAGAGCAUUAUCGCAAGAUUAAACCAAAGGAAUUGACGGGACCCGCACAAGCGGUGUGGAUGAUGUGGAUUAAUUGAUGCAACGCGAAACCUUACCUACUCCUUGAUGAAAUGGAAUCCCGAAGAGAUUUGGGAGUGUCGCAAGAGAAAUCCGGAACACAGGUGCUGUAUGGCUGUCGUCAGCUCGUGUCGUGAGAUGUUGGGUUGUCCCGCAACGAGCGCAACCUUGUUAUUAGUUGGCAUGAAAGGGCACCUAAUGACUGCCGGUGACAAACCGAGGAAGGGGGUGGGGGAUGACGUCAAGUCCUCAUGGCCCUUAUGGGUAGGGCUUCACACGUCAUACUGGUCGGGACAGGGUCGCCAACCCGCGAGGAGCCCCGGGUCCCAGAACCCGAUCGAACCGAUCGCGUUCGUAACUCGAUCGCGCGGAAGUCGGAAUCGCUAGUAAUCGCGGAUCAGCAUGUCGCGGUGUAGCUGACAGUUCCCGCGGGUCUUGUACACACCGCCCGUCACACCACAGGGAGUGGGUUUUACCAGAAGUAGUUAGCCUAACCGUAAGGAGGGCGAUUACCACGGUGAUUCAUGACUGGGGUAAGCCGUAAUACAGGAAGCUCAGCAUAACAAUUGCGCCCCCA